GACGAACGCUGGCGGCGUGCCUAAUACAUGCAAGUAGAACGCUGAAGGAGGAGCUUGCUUCUCCGGAUGAGUUGCGAACGGGUGAGUAACGCGUAGGUAACCUGCCUGGUAGCGGGGGAUAACUAUUGGAAACGAUAGCUAAUACCGCAUAAGAGUAGAUGUCGCAUGACAUUUGCUUAAAAGGUGCAACUGCACCACUACCAGAUGGACCUGCGUUGUAUUAGCUAGUUGGUGAGGUAACGGCUCACCAAGGCAACGAUACAUAGCCGACCUGAGAGGGUGAUCGGCCACACUGGGACUGAGACACGGCCCAGACUCCUACGGGAGGCAGCAGUAGGGAAUCUUCGGCAAUGGACGGAAGUCUGACCGAGCAACGCCGCGUGAGUGAAGAAGGUUGUCGGAUCGUAAAGCUCUGUUGUAAGAGAAGAACGAGUGUGAGAGUGGAAAGUUCACACUGUGACGGUAGCUUACCAGAAAGGGACGGCUAACUACGUG
rnacentral:rRNA from 1 species